UAGGCAACCACAGACUGGGAGUGCAAGCCUGACUUAAUCCUGAAGGGAGCUGACAAAGGAUCCUUGGUGGCAGCAAUUUCCUGUGACUGUACAUUUCCGACUACUUCACUGGCUCCAACUUGGCCCAAAGGAAACGGCUUAGUGUUAUUCGACGCGUUCUCACGACCGGCCAGGAAGAACACAACAACCAGAAUCUUCUACGGCAAAGCUUUAUUACUUACAUCUUAUGGGGCCAGAGUGUAAGAAGCAAGAGAGAGCGAAGCAAGAGAGAGCGAGAAAACGAAACCCCUUUCCUCUUUAAAGAGAACAACAAUUGCCUAGGACGCAUCACUCCCUGAUUGGCUGCAGCCCAUGGCCGAGCUGACGUUCACGGGAAAAACAGAGUACAAGUAGUCGUAAAUA